UAAUACAGAGGGUGCAAGCGUUAAUCGGAAUUACUGGGCGUAAAGCGCGCGUAGGCGGUUUGUUAAGUUGGAUGUGAAAGCCCCGGGCUUAACCUGGGAGGGUCAUUCAAAACUGGCAGACUAGAGUGUGGUAGAGGGUAGUGGAACUCCUAGUGUAGCGGUGAAAUGCGUAGAGAUUAGGAAGAACACCAGUGGCGAAGGCGACUGCCUGGACCAACACUGACGCUGAGGUGCGAAAGCGUGGGUAGCGAACAGGAUUAGAUACCCUGGUAGUCCACGCUGUAAACGAUGACAACUAGACGUUGGGCUCCUUAGAGGGUUUAGUGUCGAAGCUAACGCGUUAAGUUGUCCGCCUGGGGAGUACGGUCGCAAGAUUA
rnacentral:rRNA from 1 species